rnacentral:rRNA from 1 species
CCGACGGUGAGAGGUGAAAGCUGGGGGAGCAAACCGGAUUAGAUACCCGGGUAGUCCCAGCCGUAAACGAUGUGCGUUAGGUGUAUCGGUGACCACGAGUCACCGAGGUGCCGAAGAGAAAUCGUGAAACGUACCGCCUGGGAAGUACGGUCGCAAGGCUGAAACUUAAAGGAAUUGGCGGGGGAGCACCACAACAGGUGAAGCCUGCGGUUUAAUCGGACUCAACGCCGGAAAACUCACCAGAUAAGACAGCUGAAUGAUAGUCGGGCUGAAGACUCUACUUGACUAGCUGAGAGGAGGUGCAUGGCCGUCGUCAGUUCGUACUGUGAAGCAUCCUGUUAAGUCAGGCAACGAGCGAGACCCACGCCAACAGUUGCU